rnacentral:rRNA from 1 species
GUUCUCUUACGACGGAGGGACUUACCGAGUUUACAACUCCCAAACCCAAUGUGAACGUUACCAAACUGUUGCCUCGGCGGGGUCACGCCCCGGGUGCGUAAAAGCCCCGGAACCAGGCGCCCGCCGGAGGAACCAACCAAACUCUUUCUGUAGUCCCCUCGCGGACGUAUUUCUUACAGCUCUGAGCAAAAAUUCAAAAUGAAUCAAAACUUUCAACAACGGAUCUCUUGGUUCUGGCAUCGAUGAAGAACGCAGCGAAAUGCGAUAAGUAAUGUGAAUUGCAGAAUUCAGUGAAUCAUCGAAUCUUUGAACGCACAUUGCGCCCGCCAGUAUUCUGGCGGGCAUGCCUGUCCGAGCGUCAUUUCAACCCUCGAACCCCUCCGGGGGAUCGGCGUUGGGGAUCGGGACCCCUCACCGGGUGCCGGCCCUGAAAUACAGUGGCGGUCUCGCCGCAGCCUCUCCUGCGCAGUAGUUUGCACAACUCGCACCGGGAGCGCGGCGCGUCCACGUCCGUAAAACACCCAACUUCUGAAAUGUUGACCUCGGAUCAGGUAGGAAUACCCGCUGAACUUAAGCAUAUCAA